GCCGAGGGAAAUUAAAUGGCCACCUAACAUGGAGAGGGUCUCUGUGGUAUCCGUACGUAUGGACUAGUGUGACAGGAAAGAUAGCCCUGUAGCAGAGAGGCCGUUACACGUCACUAGCGGACAAGAGGGAAAGGGCAUAAAGGAGGAGGCACGCCUUCCUCCAGGGACAAGCUUACACACACACUGAAAAAAUCCUAUUUUCUGGAUCUCUAAACAUCAAUUGGCGCCGUUUGUGGGAAUGAAGGAGAUCUUUUCAUCGCCGGAGUUCCACUCUCAUUACACCCACUGAGAUCCACAAUGGCAAACCCCAAUGAAAACCACACUACUAACACCUUCAACGACCUGAGUUCCGCCCAGGAAGGCCAGCAGUUCUCUUUUUCCAGUCCCACAACUCCCAGUAAUCGACCACCAACGCUCUUUAACCCUUCGCCGAGCUCGGCAGGGAACGUACCCACAGCCACCCUGUCUAACCAAGACCUCCAUUGCAUGGCCCUCCAGUUGCAAAAUACUGCUCACUGGUUGGGGCAAAUAAUGCAGCAGAGAGGCCUCAGCACCCCAUUGAAUGCGUCAACUGUAGCAGAUAGAAUCCAAAUCAAUGAACCCCAGCCUACAUUCAACCACCUGGUCCCACUGCAGAGCAGUAGAGAAACUGGAGAAGGAGGCAGAAGGACCGGUGAAGAAGAAGAGCCGGCGGUCAGAGCCCAUGGAAGAAGAGUAAGGGAGCUAAUAGAAAAUGAUGAAGCAGAGAGUUACUCUGUGGGAACAGACAGAAAGACGGAAAGUAGAGAAGAGAGAGAGGGGUAUCGCUUGGAGAAGAGACCAAGGCAAGAAGAGAAAGAUGUAGACAGAAAGCUGCAGGAGAUGAGAAAACAACUUCUGGCCGAGCUGGGAACAAAGGACCAAAACCAAACGCUUUUGCCCACUUCCUCACCCUUUUCGGGAUGGAUCCAACAAAAAAAAAACCAUUCCCAAAAAGUUCAUGAUGCCUGCUAUGACGGGACAGGGAACCCAAGGGAACAUGUCCUCAACUACAAGACAUUUAUGGAGCUGCAAACCUUAUCGGAUGCCUUAAUGUGCAAGGUAUUCCCCACUACACUUACGGGACCAGCAAGAGCCUGGUUUAAUAGUCUGGACACCGGGAGUAUCAGGAGUUUUGGCGACCUCGCCAAUGUUUUCAUCAGUCGGUUUAUAGCAGGGGUACCGGCUGACAGAAAAACCAGUUACCUGGAAACAGUGAGACAGAGAAGGAACGAGUCCUUAAGAGAGUACGUGGCCCGUUUCAACACGGAGGCCCUACAGAUCCCCGAAUUGGAUGAAAGCAGGGCGGUGGAAGCCAUGCAGAAAGGAACUACCUCCCCCGAGUUCUUCGGCUCGUUGUGUAGAAAGCCCCCCUCCUCGCUGGCAGAGCUGAUGAAGAGGGCCGAGAAAUACAUAAGACAAGAUGACGCCUUGACGACAAGCAGAUUUGCUAAGGAGACAGCAGAUAGAGGAAAGGCCCUAGAGGAAAGGAGGUCGGAAAGGCAUGAAAGAAGGCAGAAUAAAAAACUCGAGACGUACAGGCAGCCCUAGGAUCGGGGGGAGCAAAGACCAUUUCCACCAUGGGUCCCUGAAACUCUGACCCCUCUCAACGCCUCUCGAGCCGAAGUGCCAUGGCAGUCCAGGACAAGGAGUUUCUCCAAUGGCCCAAACCCAUGAGAACCGAAGCAAGUCAGAGAGAUCCUGACAAAUACUGUCAAUACCACCGCAUACAUGGCCAUGACACCAAUAAUUGCUACCAGCUGAUCAGUGAGAUUGAAAGGCUGAUUAAAAGGGGCACCUUCGAAACUUUGUGAAAAAACCAGAAGGAGAAAGACCCAGCAAAAUUCUACAACAGAAAGACCUCGGAGGUCGGGAGCAGGACCGGUGAAUGAUGGUUCCAGUGGAACCAUCAAUAUGAUUGUCGGUGGGACUGGAGGCCGAAUGAGCAGAAGAGGAAAGAAAAGAAGCCGAGGAGGAGAGGAAAGCAGCAGCGAAGUUUUGCAGGUGAUAGAACACUCCUCAACCAUCAUCUCCUUCUCUCCAAAGGACGCCCAUGGCAUCCAGAUGCCUCAUGACGACGCCUUGGUUAUUGAAGCUAUCAUCCACAACUUUCGAGUUCGGAAGAUCCUGGUUGACGAUGGAACCAAGGUGAAUUUACUGCCGUACAGGGUCUUCCAGCAGAUGGGAAUACCGGAAGAACAGCUAGUGAGGGAUCAAGCUCCAGUGAAAGGAAUAGGCGGAACUCCAGUAGCAGUAGCAGUGGAAGGAAAGAUAAAAAUGGCCUUGACUUUAGGUGAGCCACCCCUGUCUCGAACUCACUACGCGGUGUUCCUAGUAGUAAAGCUCCCUUUGAACUAUAAUGCAAUACUGGGAAUGCCCAUGCUGUACGACUUUGAAGCAGUAACCAGCAUAAGAUACUUGACUAUGAAGUUUCCAACUGAGGCAGGAGUGGGAGUAGUCCGGGGGUGUCAAGAAGAAGCAAGAGCAGUAUACCUGGCCACAGUGUCAGAACUGAGCUCGGCAGAAGAAAAAUUUGAUUCAGAAGUCCUGGAAGUCUGAGAUGAGAAGAAAGAAGGCAGAACGGAACCAGUCGGAGAACUGGAAACCUUCCCCUUAUCAGAAAUAGAAACAGACAAGGUUUUCAGUCUCAAUGCUGGCCUGACUGAAGAGCAAAAAACUGAAGUGAUGGCCCUGAUCCGAGGUCACGCCUCAAGCUUCGCUUGGAAGCCAUCUGACAUGCCUGGGGUAGACCCUGAGGUGAUGACUCACAAACUGAACGUCCUUCCCGAAGCUAAGCCGAUAAAGCAGAAGAAGAGAGUAGUGGGAAGAGAGAAGCAACAAGCCACCAGGGAGGAGGUACGGAAGCUGGAGGAAGCAGGGUUCAUUAGGGAAGUAAUGUAUCUACAAUGGCUAGCAAAUCCUGUACUAGUGAAAAAAGCCAAUGGCAAGUAUAGGAUAUGUAUAGAUUUUACUGACCUGAACCAGGCAUGCCCAAAGAUUGUUACCCCCUUUCUGAUAUUAAUAAAAUGGUCGACUCUACGGCCGGUUUUGAUUACAUGUCGUCUCUGGAUGCAAUGUCUGAUUACCACCAAAUUCCAAUGGACAGGUCAGACGAGGAGAAGACCUCGUUCAUAAUAGAAGACGGGACUUACUGUUACAAGGCCAUGCCUUUUGGGCUGAAGAAUGCUGGGGCGACAUACCAGAGACUGAUGAAUAAAAUUUUCAAAGACCAGAUUGGUAGGAAUGUCGAAGUAUAUGUGGAUGAUAUGGUGGUGAAGAGUCCGACCUUUCAACAACACUUGAUAGACCUGAAGGAAGUAUUUGGGGUACUGGAGCAGUACAGAAUGAGGCUUGUUGAAUCCCACAUCGGUUAUAGAAAGGGGUAAUGUGCCCCUUAUAUGGGCCAUAGGCACUCCUCCCCCUUGAGCUAGCUUUUAGGGUGAGUUAGGCCUGACCCAAAUUUAACAUGGUAUCAGAGCCUCCCCAUCCGAUGUUGGGCGCCCCAUAAAUGUGCCACGCACCAGUAAAAAUUCUGGGCGUGAGGGGGUGUGUUGAAUCCCACAUCGGCUAUGGAAAGGGGUAAUGUGCCCCUUAUAUGGGCCAUAGGCACUCCUCCCCCUUGAGCUAGCUUUUGGGGUGAGUUAGGCCUGGUCCAAAUUUAACAAGGUUGAACCCAGCAAAAUGCGCUUUUUUCAUCAGGGGCGGAAAAUUCCUAGGUUACAUGGUUAGUGAGAAAGUGGAAGCCAUAUUGACAAUGCCUGAACCGACCUGUGUGAGGGAUGUCCAAAGACUCACUGGAAGGGUAGUAGCACUUAAUCGUUUCAUGUUAAGGUCGGUAGAAAGGUGCCUACCAUUCUUCAAGAAGUUGAGAAAAGUUCCAAAUUUUGAAUGGACUGAGGAUUGCCAAGAAGCUUUCAAAGAGCUCAAGUGCUACCUUAGUUCGCCACAGGUACUCAGUAGCCCACUAGAGGGGGAAGAGCUCUUGAUCUACUUAUCAGCCUCGGAACAAGCCGUCAGUGCUGUGCUGGUGAGAGUGGAAGGAGGAGAGCAGAAGCCAGUAUUUUAUGUCCACAAAGUACUCAAAGACGCUGAGGUAAGAUAUCUGAACAUUGAAAAAGUAGCAUAUGCUCUGCUAUUGGUAGUUAGAAAAUUCAGGAUAUACCUAGAGAGCCAUCAAGGAGUAGUGAUGACGGACCGGCCUUUGAAGAAAAUCCUCCACAGACCAGAAACUUCAGGACGGAUGCUUGCUUGGUCCAUUGAGAUCAGCCCGUACUGCCUAGAGUACCGACCUUGGACUGCCAUCAAAUCCCAAGCCUUGGCCGAGUUUAUCGCGGAGUGCUCCUUCAAUGAAGAACAAAUGGAAUCCAGAAAAAAACCAACAGAGGCCACGGAGCGAGGGCACGACCAACAACCCCUGCAAAAAUUCAGCUGGAGUUUGUUCGUAGAUGGGGCAUCCAGCGUGGAAGGCAAUGGUGUUGGAGUAAUGCUGAAAGGACCAGGAGGGUUCAAAGUUUGUUAUGCCCUGCGGUUGGAGUUCAAGGCUACCAACAAUGUGGCAGAGUAUGAAGCUUUGAUAAACGGGAUGUUGAUAGCAAUGGAAGUGGGAGCAACCGACCUCGAAGUAAAUAGUGACUCCCAAUUGGUGGUCAACCAAAUAAUAGGGGCAUAUCAGACAAGGGACCCUGUCAUGCAAAAGUACUUAGCGAAAGUAAAAGCGGUGGAGACAGAGCUCGGCGAACAGGGAGUUAUAGUUCGGUACUAGAGAAUACCUCGGGAGGAAAACGAGGAAGCAGAUCUGCUCAGCCGAUUAUCUGAAGAAGAGCUGGAACAGCUCCCCGAUAAGGUAUACAUACAACACAUUAGCAUACCUGCUUUUAACAAAACAAAUACCGUAAUGUAGGCACUCCUCCCCCUUGAGCUAGCUUUUGGGGUGAGUUAGGCCUGGCCCAAAUUUAACAAAUAACAUCAGGGAGCUUCGAGCUAUCCAUAGCAGUAUGAGAAGCAUACCUUAAAGACGACUGGGGCAGAAAGACAGGACGGACAAAGCGUGCAGAAGGCAGAAGGAGAGUGAGGGUUAUGUGAAGAUUGAGAGAAUUUGAAUUCUGAAACAGUAAAGUGAAGAGGAGACGUUUUGAUGGGAACCGUCCUCGAGCCGUGUGGUCAUAAUGGGUUCUAGAUAUUUACUCCCUCAUCACUCAUGAAAUAACUGCUGAGGAGAUAAAGGGGCAAUUGAUAACCGUCAGGCUUCGCACCCCUUCUGGGCCGGGUCGAGGCCCAAAGGGACAGAACAGGCCUCGAAACAGGCCUCCAGCCCGGAGCACCCCUCGGCAGGCCUGUCUAACUGCUUCCGCUCAGAUUCCAGUACAAGCAAUAGGCCGGGUCGCCAAAAAGCCCAAGCCCGGAAAGCUGAAAUUCGGCUAUGUGAUCUGACAAGAGGAAAGACAGCAGGCCUAGUCACUUCGCAGCCCUGCCCACUUACACACCGAGGGGAAUUAAAUGGCCGCCACAUGGAGAGGGUCUCUGUGGUAUCCGUACGUACGGACCAGUGCGACAGGAAAGAUGGCCCUGUAGCAGAGAGGCCGUUACAGGUCACUAGCGGACAAGAGGGAAAGGGCAUAAAGGAGGCAUGCCUUCCUCCAGGGACAAGCUUACACACACACUGAAAAAAUCCUAUUCUCUGGAUCUCAGAACAUCAGGAUCAAUGAACCAAGC
rnacentral:lncRNA from 1 species